CUAUGUUCUGCUUACCCGCCGGCAAUUUAUGGGGGCGACGUAGAUAUUUACUAAAAGUGAAAUGCCGCUUUUGCUGUUGACUGCUUGCGGAAAAUAAAUGAAUUUGAUUUCGCCGUUCCGCGAAGAGCUGUCCUGCCAUUAACCCGUACCGUGAGCCUAACUAGCCAACACAGCCCUAUCGAGGGAUUCGAAUGACCCAAAAUAGUCACAAAACAUUGAAACAGUCCUCAAAUAAUGAACACUGCUGUUGGCAAUUUGUCCGGAACACGUUGGACUACAUACUGCUGGAGAGAUUCCGCCGGUGGAGACAGCCAAUUAAAGCGAUGCAGCUGCAAACAGGUCCUGUCUGCAGAGGACUCGCCCCAAUUCCCCGAGGACCAAUUAAAUUAGAAAGAGUCCGGGAAACGAAAGAAAAAUCACAAUCUUUCUGCCACCACUCCCUCUUCUUUCCAUCCUCCCUAUCCCCAUCUCCCGCUCCAUCAGUUUUUCAGUGUCGCUCAGAAUGCCUUCAAGACAAAAUAAAACUACGGAAGCCUACCACUAGGCGGCAUGUUUCAGCUGUUUUAAUCUACUGGCCCCUUUCAUUACUAACAAUAAUUCAAAUUACAAAAAAACAAAAACAAUUAUAACAAAUUGCAGAACAAAAAAAAACCGCAACUGCAGUAAUUCACAGUUUGUAUGAUAAUUUAGUCAAUUCCUGAAAUUCUUUAAACCAAUAUGUACAGUGCAAAUCAGUGGUUAGGCAGUCCACACAACUGACACAGUCUGAAAGCACUGGAGGGAGUAUUAUAGUACUGUAUCAGUAUCAGCUGUGUAUGGAUGAAUAUGGCAA